CGAAUAGCGUAGGGGUGCCCGUGUGUGGUUUUUCUUACAGCAACAGGUUCAUACGAACCAUGUCGCUUGAAAGGAAAAGAUUCACUCGAGCUGAGAUCAUACCCUAACGACCAGAUAAGGAUAAUGCCUGCGAUGGGAAAAACGCGCUAUUCAUUGCA
rnacentral:ncRNA from 1 species